AUUCCAGCUCCAGUAGCGUAUAUUUAAGUUGUUGCAGUUAAAAAGCUCGUAGUUGGAUCUUGGGUCGUAAGGGUCGGUCUGCCUACUCGGUGUGCACCUGCCCUUCCGUCCCUUUUGUCGGCGGCGUGCUCCUGGCCUUAAUUGGCUGGGUCGCGGUUCCGGCGCUGUUACUUUGAAAAAAUUAGAGUGCUCAAAGCAAGCUUAUGCUCUGAAUACAUUAGCAUGGAAUAACGUGAUAGGAGUCUGGUCCUAUUGUGUUGGCCUUCGGGACCGGAGUAAUGAUUAAUAGGGACUGUCGGGGGCAUUCGUAUUUCAUUGUCAGAGGUGAAAUUCUUGGAUUUAUGAAAGACGGACCACUGCGAAAGCAUUUUCCAAGGAUGUUUUCAUCA
rnacentral:rRNA from 1 species